GGGGUACUGUUGUACUCGGGAGACUUCGCUGAACACAAAUGUUUGUGUUUCAAAACAGUAAAAAGUAUCACAGCAAUAAUAUUGUCCGUGUAAUGCUGUUUGUGCGUGAAAAAUGCAAAAAAGUCACUUUUACUGGCGAUAUCAUCGUUGUAAUACAUUUUACUGUUUUGAAACACUAAUAUUUGUGUUCAGCGAAGUCUCCCGAGUAGAACAGUGCCCCCCAUGUACAGGUUUUAUGGUGUCUUGGAAAGUUAUAGGGUUAAAUAUAGUGCUAGCAAAUUAAAUUCCCUUUACUUUCGGCAUGGGUUGUCAGGCAGGUCCUGCUAAUUGUAAUUAAUUAAGAUACCUAAUUAUGUAAAAAUAUUACAUAAAUA